AUACGUAGGUGGCAAGCGUUAUCCGGAUUUACUGGGCGUAAAGGGCGUGUAGGCGGUCUUGCAAGUCAGAAGUGAAAUUCCUGAGCUCAACUCGGGCGCUGCUUCUGAAACUGCAGGACUUGAGUGCUGGAGGGGAUAGCGGAAUUCCUAGUGGAGCGGUAAAAUGCGCAGAUAUUAGGAGGAAUACCAGUGGCGAAGGCGACUCUCUGGACUGAUACUGACGCUGAGGCACGAAAGCGUGGGGAGCAAACAGGAUUAGAUACCCUGGUAGUCCACGCUAUAAACGAUGAGUGCUAGGUGUCGGGGGUCAAACCUCGGUGCCGCAGUUAACACAUUAAGCAUUCCGCCUGGGGAGUACGCACGCAAGUGUGAAACUUAAAGGAAUUGACGGGG
rnacentral:rRNA from 1 species